UGCGCAGGCGGUUGUGUAAGACAGGUGUGAAAUCCCCGGGCUUAACCUGGGAACUGCACUUGUGACUGCACGGCUGGAGUGCGCCAGAGGGGGUGGAAUUCCACGUGUAGCAGUGAAAUGCGUAGAUAUGUGGAGGAACACCGAUGGCGAAGGCAGCCCCCUGGGGUGACACUGACGCUCAUGCACGAAAGCGUGGGUAGCGAACA
rnacentral:rRNA from 1 species